rnacentral:rRNA from 1 species
ACCUGGCGGCGUGCUUACCAUGCAAGUCGAACGAUGAACCCCACUUGUGGGGGGAUUAGUGGCGAACGGGUGAGUAACACGUGAGUAACCUGCCCCCGACUUCGGGAUAAGCCCGGGAAACUGGGUCUAAUACCGGAUAUUCUCCUCCUGCCGCAUGGUGGGGGGUGGAAAGAUUUUUCGGUCGGGGAUGGACUCGCGGCCUAUCAGCUUGUUGGUGGGGUAAUGGCCCACCAAGGCGACGACGGGUAGCCGGCCUGAGAGGGUGACCGGCCACACUGGGACUGAGACACGGCCCAGACUCCUACGGGAGGCAGCAGUGGGGAAUAUUGCACAAUGGGCGCAAGCCUGAUGCAGCGACGCCGCGUGGGGGAUGACGGCCUUCGGGUUGUAAACCCCUUUCAGUAGGGAAGAAGCGAAAGUGACGGUACCUGCAGAAGAAGCGCCGGCUAACUACGUGCCAGCAGCCGCGGUAAU